rnacentral:rRNA from 1 species
UAGGGAAUCUUCCACAAUGGACGAAAGUCUGAUGGAGCAACGCCGCGUGAGUGAUGAAGGGUUUCGGCUCGUAAAACUCUGUUGUUGGAGAAGAACGGGUGUCAGAGUAACUGUUGACAUCGUGACGGUAUCCAACCAGAAAGCCACGGCUAACUACGUGCCAGCAGCCGCGGUAAUACGUAGGUGGCAAGCGUUGUCCGGAUUUAUUGGGCGUAAAGCGAGCGCAGGCGGUUUUUUAGGUCUGAUGUGAAAGCCUUCGGCUUAACCGGAGAAGUGCAUCGGAAACCGGGAGACUUGAGUGCAGAAGAGGACAGUGGAACUCCAUGUGUAGCGGUGAAAUGCGUAGAUAUAUGGAAGAACACCAGUGGCGAAGGCGGCUGUCUGGUCUGCAACUGACGCUGGGGCUCGAAAGCAUGGGUAGCGAACAGGAUUAGAUACCCUUGGGUAGUCCAUGCCGUAAACGAUGAGUGCUAAGUG